rnacentral:rRNA from 1 species
UUAAAAUGGUAAGGGUGUGCGGGGGAUGCCUUGGCACACUGGGGCGAUGAAGGGCGUGGCAAGCUGCGAUAAGCCUGGGGGAGCCGCAAGCAGGCCGUGAUCCCAGGAUUCCCGAAUGGGGCAACCCGCCGACUUCGUCGGCAUCCCGAAAGGGAGGCGAACCCGGGGAAGUGAACCAUCUCAGUACCCGGAGGAAAAGAUACCAACAGGUAUUCCCUGAGUAGUGGCGAGCGAAAGGGGAGGAGCCCAAACCGUGGGGCCGUAGGUCCUGCGGGGUUGUGGGACCCUCACAAGCCCAUCCGUAGCCGAAGUGGAAGAUCGCUGGAACGCGACGCCAUAGAGGGUGAUAGCCCCGUACGCGUAAGGCAAAGGAGGGCGAGGGUAUCCCGAGUAACACGGACUCGGUGGUGGUCCGUGUGAAGCUGCCGGCACCUUCCGGCAAGGCUAAAUACCCAGUGUGACCGAUAGUGCACGAGUACCGUAAGGGAAAGGUGAAAAGCUCCCUGAGAAAGGGAUUGAAAGAGACCUGAAACCGCACACCUACAAGCAGUCGGAGCCCCAUCAGGGGUGACGGCGUGCCUUUUGCUUAAUGAGCCGGCGAGUUUUCCUCUCUGGCGAGGUUAAGGAGCUCAGCUCCGAAGCCGCAGCGAAAGCGAGUCCUAACAGGGCGUUUAGUCAGAGGGGAAAAACGCGAAGCCCAGUGAGCUACCCAUGAGCAGGGUGAAGGCGGGGUAAUACCCGCUGGAGGCCCGAACCGGUUGGGGUUGAAAACCCAUCGGAUGACUUGUGGGUAGGGGUGAAAGGCCUAUCAAACUGGGGGAUAGCUCGUACUCUCCGAAAUGCCUUUAGGGGCAGCCUCAGGAUUGACUCUGCCGCAGGUAGAGUGACAGUUUGCGACCCUUGGGGAAACCUGGGGGGACGCAGAUUAACUCCGAAUGGCGGCAGAGGCUUCCUGGGAGUGAGGGCACUCGGCGCUAAGGUCGAGGUCCGAGAGGGGGACAACCCAGACCCGCCGCUAAGGCCCCGAAGUGCCAGCUAAGUCGGUCUAACGAAGUGUCCCUGCUAUGACAGCCAGGAGGUUUGCUUAGAAGCAGCAAUCCUUUAAAGAGUGCGUAACAGCUCACUGGUCGAGCGGGGAUGCGCGGAUAAUAAGCGGGCGUAAGCUGGCCGCCGAAGCGCGGGGCUCUUGCACCAGCAAGAGCGGUAGGAGAGCAUUGUCUCAGCUGGGAAGCGGCUCGGUAACGAGCCGUGGAGCGGAGACAAGCGCAUAUGCCGGCAUGAGUAACGAUAAAGCGGGUGAAAAUCCCGCUGACCGAAAGCCCAAGGGUUCCGGUCCGAUGUUCAUCAGGGCCGGGUUAGUCGGGACCUAAGGCGUACCCGAAAGGGGAAGCUGAUGGGAAGCCGGUCAAUAUUCCGGCACCUGCCUAAGCCAGGGAUGGGGGGACGCUGGAGCGAACCUGCCGCGGGGUGACGGAAUACCCCGUAGAAGGGAGGUAGGCAUACCCCGGAUAGGCAAAUCCGUCCGGGGGCCGAAACCCGACCGUACCGCGACCCUUCGGGGGAGCGGAUAGUGCAGCGAUAGCAGACAGCCAAGAAAAGCCUCUAACCGCUAAAGCUUAGGCAGCCCGUACCGGAAACCGACACAGGUGGGCGAGGAGAAUAUCCACAGGUCCUCGGGUGAUUCGUGGCUAAGGAACUCGGCCAAUUCGCCCCGUAACUUCGGGAGAAGGGGUGCCUCCCUCUGGGAGGCCGCAGUUAAGAGGCCCAAGCGACUGUUUAACAAAAACACAGGGCUCUGCUACGCCGAAAGGCUAGGUAUAGGGCCUGAUACCUGCCCGGUGCCGGAAGGUUAAGGGGAGGGGUGCAAGCCCCGAACCGAAGCCCCGGUAAACGGCGGCCGUAACUCUAACGGUCCUAAGGUAGCGAAAUUCCUUGUCGGGUAAGUUCCGACCUGCACGAAUGGUUUAACGACUUGGGCACUGUCUCGGCCGCGAGCCCGGUGAAAUUGUAGUACCGGUGAAGAUGCCGGUUACCCGCGACGGGACGAAAAGACCCCGUGAACCUUCACUACAGCUUGGUAUUGACCGCGUGUGUGCGAUGUGUAGCAUAGGUGGGAGGCUGAGAAGCCCAGGCGCCAGCUUGGGUGGAGCCGCCAGUGAAAUACCACCCUUCGCAUACGUGCGGUCUAACCCUCCCAAGGAGGGGACAGUGCCUGGCGGGUAGUUUGACUGGGGUGGUCGCCUCCAAAAGCGUAUCGGAGGCUCCCAAAGGUACCCUCAGCACGCUUGGCAACCGUGCGGUGAGUGCAAUGGCACAAGGGUGCUUGACUGCGAGACCGACGGGUCGAGCAGAGGCGAAAGCCGGGCAUAGUGAUCCGGUGGUUCCUCAAGGGAGGGCCAUCGCUCAUAGGAUAAAAGGUACUCCGGGGAUAACAGGCUGAUCUCCCCCGAGAGCCCCCAUCGACGGGGAGGUUUGGCACCUCGAUGUCGGCUCGUCACAUCCUGGGGCUGAAGGAGGUCCCAAGGGUUGGGCUGUUCGCCCAUUAAAGUGGCACGUGAGCUGGGUUCAGAACGUCGCAAGACAGUUCGGUCUCUAUCUGUCGCGGGCGUAGGACGCUUGAGGGGACCCGCCCUUAGUACGAGAGGACCGGGGUGGACGCACCGCUGGCCUACCAGCUGUCCCGCCAGGGGCACCGCUGGGUAGCUAUGUGCGGACGAGAUAAGCGCUGAAAGCAUCUAAGCGCGAAGCUCACCCCAAGAUAAGGCGUCCUUCUUAAGGGCCCUGGAAGAUGACCAGGUCGAUAGGCGGCAGGUGUAAGCAGGGUAACCUGUUGAGCCAAGCCGUACUAAUUGCCCGAA